ACCAUAUCUAGUGUUCGAGGUUCCGUCGAUUCGUGAGGAUCGGCGGCUAAGACGGAAAUUCGGUGCGCGUCGCCAUCAUGGCGCGGCAAUGCCGGAGCUGCCCCCGCAACUGUGAGCGGCGAGCAACUGUCCGAUUUCAGGUCACUGGAGCAUGAUGCUCCGGGAAGGCUGGGGCAAAGUGCUUUGACCCGUGAGCCAGGAGACCUGCCUCGAAUGAAACGUCCACG
rnacentral:ncRNA from 23 species